rnacentral:misc_RNA from 1 species
GAUGAAGAACGUAGCAAAAUGCGAUAAGUAAUGUGAAUUGCAGAAUUCAGUGAAUCACCGAAUCUUUGAACGCACAUUGCGCCCGCCAGUAUUCUGGCGGGCAUGCCUGUUCGAGCGUCAUUUCAACCCUCAAGCACAGCUUGGUGUUGGGACUCGCGUUAAUUCGCGUUCCCCAAAUUGAUUGGCGGUCACGUCGAGCUUCCAUAGCGUAGUAGUAAAACCCUCGUUACUGGUAAUCGUCGCGGCCACGCCGUUAAACCCCAACUUCUGAAUGUUGACCUCGGAUCAGGUAGGAAUACCCGCUGAACUUAAGCAUAUCAAUAAGCGGAGGA